AUGCACGCUGGCGGCGUGCCUAAUACAUGCAAGUCGAGCGAACGGACGAGAAGCUUGCUUCUCUGAUGUUAGCGGCGGACGGGUGAGUAACACGUGGAUAACCUACCUAUAAGACUGGGAUAACUUCGGGAAACCGGAGCUAAUACCGGAUAAUAUUUUGAACCGCCUGGUUCAAAAGUGAAAGACGGUCUUGCUGUCACUUAUAGAUGGAUCCGCGCUGCAUUAGCUAGUUGGUAAGGUAACGGCUUACCAAGGCAACGAUGCAUAGCCGACCUGAGAGGGUGAUCGGCCACACUGGAACUGAGACACGGUCCAGACUCCUACGGGAGGCAGCAGUAGGGAAUCUUCCGCAAUGGGCGAAAGCCUGACGGAGCAACGCCGCGUGAGUGAUGAAGGUCUUCGGAUCGUAAAACUCUGUUAUUAGGGAAGAACAUAUGUGUAAGUAACUGUGCACAUCUUGACGGUACCUAAUCAGAAAGCCACGGCUAACUACGUG
rnacentral:rRNA from 1 species